GUAGGUGGCAAGCGUUGUCCGGUAUUAUUGGGCGUAAAGCGCGCGCAGGCGGUUCUUUAAGUCUGAUGUGAAAGCCCACGGCUCAACCGUGGAGGGUCAUUGGAAACUGGAGAACUUGAGUACAGAAGAGGAAAGCGGAAUUCCACGUGUAGCGGUGAAAUGCGUAGAGAUGUGGAGGAACACCAGUGGCGAAGGCGGCUUUCUGGUCUGUAACUGACGCUGAGGCGCGAAAGCGUGGGGAGCAAACAGGGAUUAGAUACCCUGGUAGUCCACGCCGUAAACGAUGAGUGCUAAGUGUUAGGGGGUUUCCGCCCCCUUAGUGCUGCAGCUAACGCAUUAAGCACUCCGGCCUGGGGAGUACGGCCGCAAGGCUG
rnacentral:rRNA from 1 species